GAGUCAUUAAUAUUGAUGUCUUGCCCAUCUGUUGGUUCUGAUGGACUUUACUCUUUGCGCUGGCUUAAACAUCUGACUCUGCUAGAUUUGUCGUAUACUUUCUUGAUAAAUCUGCAGCCAGUUUUUGAGUCUUGUUUGCAACUGAAGGUAUUAAAAUUGCAAGCUUGCAAGUAUCUUAAUGACACGUCAUUGGAGCCUCUUUACAUUGAAGGUGCUCUGCCAGUGCUUCAGGAGUUGGACUUGUCUUAUGGGACCCUCUGUCAGUCUGCAAUAGAGGAGCUUCUUGCUUGCUGUACUCAUCUGACUCAUUUGAGCUUGAAUGGCUGUGUGAAUAUGCAUGACCUGAAUUGGGGAUAUAGUGGAGGUCAGCUUUCUGAGUUGCCAAGUGUAUAUAAUUCAUCUGCUCUGCUUUCCGACGAGAAUAUCCAUGAGCCAAUUGAGCAGGCAAACCGUUUGCUACAGAACCUCAAUUGUGUGGGUUGUCCAAAUAUUAGGAAAGUUCUCAUUCCACCAAUGGCACGAUGUUUCCAUUUGUUGUCACUAAACCUGUCUUUAUCUGCCAAUUUGAAGGAAGUUGAUGUUGCUUGUUUUAAUUUGUGUUUUCUUAAUUUGAGUAAUUGUUGCGCUUUGGAGGUGUUGAAGCUUGAGUGCCCAAGACUGACAAGUCUCUUUCUCCAGUCUUGUAACAUUGAUGAGGAAGACGUAGAAGCUGCCAUAUCUCGAUGUAGCAUGCUGGAGACUCUGGAUGUGCGUUUUUGUCCUAAGAUAUGCUCAAUAAGCAUGGGGAGAUUGCGCUCAGCAUGCCCGAGUUUGAAGCGUGUCUUUAGCAGCUUCUCACCUCCAUGAUGUGAAUAAAGAAUUUUGUCUGAUUUUUCCAAUGGUGAUUCACUUUGAGGUGAAGCGGCGACUUUUAUUUGGUGUGCUAUCAUCUGUUUAUCUAUUGUAAAUGUCCUGCUGUCUUGUUGAUGUCUGUUUUGGUAUAUAGGCACUUGAUGUGGUAGCUGUCUUGAUGUAACAAUACAAUAAACGGUCUAUAUUUUCUAUAUUAAUCAUUAUUUUUGUUUGUUUAUAAUAUAUUAUUAAGAUUUUGAGGGUGAGACUUUUUACCGGCA
rnacentral:misc_RNA from 1 species